GCUAAUGUGCGUCGGACCCCUUGGCCCAUCCGACGCACAUCAGCCCAAAAGAGAACUCUAAGUCUCUCGGCUCUCUCCCUCUCCUUUUAAUUUUCCCAAACCCUAAUAUGCACAUCAACCGCCUCUCUCUCUCUUCCCCUCUCCCUCUCUCUCUCUCUUCCCCUCUCCCUCUCUCUCAAUUCCAGAACUUGUUCCUCAAAACUCAAUCAACUUAAAUAUAUGGCGACGAAAUUCUCUGGAGAUGAACUAAGCACAAAAUUGCAACAACUUCUUCCUCCUCGAAAUCGGCCGUUUCAUCGAUCAAAUCCCUCGAAACCUACACUUCUUCCUCUCCUGAAAUCCGCAAACGUUUCAUUCGUUUACAUCUUCUUCAUCGUUUCAUUAGUUUCAUUCGUUUCAUUCGUUUACAGAUCUGCCAAAUGCAAUCGAACUCAAACGCAAUCGAAGAUCUGAAAUUUUCAGUAAGAGGAUGGUAUCUUCUCGAAAUCUUGUUGUUGCGUUUGUGGUGAAGAUCUUGAUUGCUAUGAAAUUACAAGAAAUUCUCGAAGAUCUGGAUUGUGUUUGAGUUUUUUUAUUUUUAUUUUUAAUUUUAUCUCCCGUUAUAUAAAAACGCGGUUAUAGAUAAUUUUUUAGUUUGUAAUUUUAUCUUCUGGUUAGGGUUAGAAUUUCUUAUUUUUUUGUAUGUUUUAGUUAUAGAUCUGAUGUUAGUGAUAAUGGUGAUAUUUUUUUCUUCUUGAAAUUAUGUAAAACUGCGCACUGUUGAUGUUAGUCCAUUGCCUUUGUAGUUUGUAAUUUUAUCUUCUCCAUUUUUGUAUGUUCUUCAUUUCCUUUUCAAUU